UACGGGGGGAGCAAGCGUUGUUCGGAUUUACUGGGCGUAAAGGGCGCGUAGGCGGCCACUGCAAGUCAGUUGUGAAAUCUCCGGGCUUAACCCGGAAAGGUCAACUGAUACUGCAGGGCUAGAGUGCAGAAGGGGCAACUGGAAUUCUCGGUGUAGCGGUGAAAUGCGUAGAUAUCGAGAGGAACACCUGCGGCGAAGGCGGGUUGCUGGGCUGACACUGACGCUGAGGCGCGAAAGCUAGGGGAGCGAACCGG
rnacentral:rRNA from 1 species